rnacentral:misc_RNA from 1 species
CUGCAGCAAGCUCUUUUUGGACACGAACAGCUUCAACCUGCACCACCAUCUGAGCCUUCUUAACAGUCUCGUAUAAGUUUUGCAUGUUUCCCAGUAUCCCUGCCUUUGAAGGUGUGCCAUCACUACUUUCACUCUUAUCCUUAUUCCCUCCAAAUAAACCAAACACCUUUAAAGGCUUCCUCUUGUGUGCAUUUUUACAAGACCAUGAUACAUGAGAUGCAACAUUUACACUAGAUUUUGCACUUAUCUUAUAACCGGGUAUUCGGUCUGCGGGGCAAAGAAUGUGAGACAUCGUCGACGCCAUUAAAGGGGGCAGGAGCUUCGAG